UACGUAGGACCCAAGCGUUAUCCGGAUUUACUGGGCGUAAAGAGUUGCGUAGGUGGUAUGUUAAGCAAAUAGUGAAAUCGUGUGGCUCAACCAUACAUCCAUUAUUUGAACUGGCAAACUUGAGAGUGAGAGAGGUAGAUGGAAUUCCCUGUGUAGGAGUGAAAUCCGUAGAUAUAGGGAGGAACACCGAUGGCGUAGGCAGUCUACUGGCUCAUUUCUGACACUAAGGCACGAAAGCGUGGGGAGCAAACGGG
rnacentral:rRNA from 1 species